AGAAAAUAAACAGAACUGAUAAACUCUUGGCCAUACUAAUGAAGAAAAAGAGAGAGGAAACUCAAUUUGCUAAUAUUCAUGAUGAAAAAAGAAAUAUCUUGACACUACUGAAAUACAGAUGAUAAGCAGGACCUAUUUUGAAAAUUUAUACUCCAGUAAAAUAGAAAAUCCUGAAAACAUCAACAAAUUUUUAGAGACUUAUGACUUACCCAAGUUGAAUCAGGAGGACAUACACAAUUUAGAUAGAUCAAUUUCAAGCAAUGAAAUAGAAGAUGCCAUCAAAAGCCAACCAUAGGCCAGGCAGAUUCUCAGCAGAAUUCUACCAGAUAUUCAAAGAAGUAUUGACACCAAUAUUCCUUAAAUUAUUCUAUGAAAUAGAAAAGGAGGAAACCCUUCCAAACUCAUUGUAUGAAGCUAGUAUCACUGUAAUCCCAAAAUCAGACAAAGGCACAUUAAGGAAAAAAAAAAAAAACUUUAGACCAAUAUCCCUAUGAACAUAGAUGUAAAAAUUAUCAAUAAAGUUCUGGCAAAUCGCAUACAAAAACAUAUUAAAAUAUAGCAUAGCAUGAUCAAGAUCAUGAUCUCAGAGAUUCAAGGUUGUUUCAACAUACGGAUAUCAAUAAACAUAAUUCAUCACAUAAAUAGACUUAAAAACAAGAAUCAUAUAAUUAUCUCAAUAUAUCCAGAAAAAGCAUCUGACAAAAUAUAGCAUCUCUUCAUGUUCAAAACACUAGAAAAAAUAGGGAUAGUAGGAACAUA
rnacentral:lncRNA from 1 species